AAUACAUCGGAACGUGCCCAAUCGUGGGGGAUAACGCAGCGAAAGCUGUGCUAAUACCGCAUACGAUCUACGGAUGAAAGCAGGGGAUCGCAAGACCUUGCGCGAAUGGAGCGGCCGAUGGCAGAUUAGGUAGUUGGUGAGGUAAAGGCUCACCAAGCCUUCGAUCUGUAGCUGGUCUGAGAGGACGACCAGCCACACUGGGACUGAGACACGACCCAGACUCCUACGGGAGGCAGCAGUGGGGAAUUUUGGACAAUGGGCGCAGGCCUGAUCCAGCCAUGCCGCGUGCAGGAUGAAGGCCUUCGGGUUGUAAACUGCUUUUGUACGGAACGAAACGGCCUUUUCUAAUAAAGAGGGCUAAUGACGGUACCGUAAGAAUAAGCACCGGCUAACUACGUGCCAGCAGCCGCGGUAAUACGUAGGGUGCAAGCGUUAAUCGGAAUUACUGGGCGUAAAGCGUGCGCAGGCGGUAAUGUAAGACAGUUGUGAAAUCCCCGGGCUCAACCUGGGAACUGCAUCUGUGACUGCAUUGCUGGAGUACGGCAGAGGGGGAUGGAAUUCCGCGUGUAGCAGUGAAAUGCGUAGAUAUGCGGAGG
rnacentral:rRNA from 1 species